rnacentral:rRNA from 2 species
UACAGAGGGUGCAAGCGUUAAUCGGAAUUACUGGGCGUAAAGCGCGCGUAGGUGGUUGUGUAAGUUGGAUGUGAAAGCCCCGGGCUUAACCUGGGAACUGCAUUCAAAACUGCACGGCUAGAGUACGGGAGAGGGGGGUAGAAUUCCAGGUGUAGCGGUGAAAUGCGUAGAGAUCUGGAGGAAUACCGAUGGCGAAGGCAGCCCCCUGGCCUGAUACUGACACUGAGGUGCGAAAGCAUGGGGAGCAAACAGG